GACGAACGCUGGCGGCGUGCUUAACACAUGCAAGUCGAACGGAAAGGCCCUGCUUUUGUGGGGUGCUCGAGUGGCGAACGGGUGAGUAACACGUGAGUAACCUGCCCUUGACUUUGGGAUAACUUCAGGAAACUGGGGCUAAUACCGGAUAGGAGCUCCUGCUGCAUGGUGGGGGUUGGAAAGUUUCGGCGGUUGGGGAUGGACUCGCGGCUUAUCAGCUUGUUGGUGGGGUAGUGGCUUACCAAGGCUUUGACGGGUAGCCGGCCUGAGAGGGUGACCGGCCACAUUGGGACUGAGAUACGGCCCAGACUCCUACGGGAGGCAGCAGUGGGGAAUACUGCACAAUGGGCGGAAGCCUGAUGCAGCAACGCCGCGUGCGGGAUGACGGCCUUCGGGUUGUAAACCGCUUUCGCCUGUGACAAAGCGUGAGUGACGGUAAUGGGUAAAGAAGCACCGGCUAACUACGUG
rnacentral:rRNA from 1 species